UAGACUUUCGUGAGAUACAGUUGUUCUCUCGCAAGAUGUAUCAACAUGGAUUUCGUUCUUGUUUUAUUGCAAUGAGCAUGUAUCUUUGCUACUAAAUAAUGGCGGCAUGCAACAGAGAAACAUCAACAAAAUGUAAUGAAAAAGAAUUCAUCCACGAAGAAAGUUGAUGAUUAUUGAAUGAUAGAAUAAAGAAAAUCUACAUAUCUGUCAAAGCUGAAAUGAAUAGAAAAAUCAAGCGACGAGCUAUAAUGAAGAUAGUAUAUGCAAUCGAGCGAGAAAGUGCGGGACAUGUAAUGGAGAACAAAACAAUUAGUCAGAAACGUAAGCACCAACGUCAUCAUAGAAAGAGGACGAGUCCAAAGACGCGUUGCAAGAGAAGCACAUAAUGAAACGAAGAAAUCGGCAUAAUAGAGAAGAAAUCACGCAACGAAUGAGAAAUUGGCGAAGUAGAAUUAACGAAGACUUUGGAACACACCGGAAUGAGAAGAAGAGUUUGGACAUGAGCGAAGAAACAUCAGCAGCGACCAGUUAAUAAUGUGGAGCCUGCAGAUAAUGAUGUCGCGCGUUCACCAGGAAAACAAGGCAGAAUCGUUGCCGCCCUCGCCGGCAUCAUGCGUAGGUAACAAUUUGAGCAUUACAAAACCGCUCUUUUGCUUCCCCUCAUGGUUAAACAUUCAUUAUUUAUACGCAGAUAAAGAAGUUUUCCUCGGCGUCAGCUUUAGGCUUCCAUCUUAUUCCAGCUUAUUCCUCUUCUGGGUGGUUAACGGGAGUUGUGCAGAGUUAUCUAUCGUGUUAAUAAUAUAUUAUGUAUUGUUAUCAUUUUUCACUCUAAAACUUGAACAGGAUAGUCAUAUGCAUAAAAGUGAUUUGUCCGUAAUACUUAUUAAAACGUGUAAAAUAACACUUAACUUAUAAUAUCGGCAUUAAGCCAAAAGGAAUUGUAUUUUAAUACAUAUAUAGUGCAAUACAAUGCAAAG